UGGUAGGUACCUUGGGAAAAAGGUGCAUUCAGCCCUUUCCUCUGUGGACACGGAUUUAAACCACGUUGAUGUAUUUAGUCUUCAGUGGUAGAUGCAUAUUUAAG